CAUUCGGCGCACUGAUUGAGUGGUUUAUUCGAGUCCACCAAUGAGAACGCAGAAUGCA
rnacentral:precursor_RNA from 1 species